UACGUAGGGGGCAAGCGUUGUCCGGAUUUAUUGGGCGUAAAGAGCGUGUAGGCGGCCGUACAGGUCAGCUGUGAAAACUCGAGGCUCAACCUCGAGACGUCGGUUGAAACCGUACGGCUAGAGUCCGGAAGAGGAGAGUGGAAUUCCCGGUGUAGCGGUGAAAUGCGCAGAUAUCGGGAAGAACACCCGUGGCGAAGGCGGCUCUCUGGGACGGUACUGACGCUGAUACACGAAAGCGUGGGUAGCAAACAGG
rnacentral:rRNA from 1 species